UCGAGAAUCUUCGGCAAUGGGCGAAAGCCUGACCGAGCGACGCCGCGUGCGGGAUGAAGGCCCUCGGGUUGUAAACCGCUGUCGUAGGGGAGGAAGUCUAUCAGGGUACUCUCUGGUAGUUGACCUAUCCUAGGAGGAAGGACGGGCUAAGUUCGUGCCAGCAGCCGCGGUAAUACGAACCGUCCAAACGUUAUUCGGAAUCACUGGGCUUAAAGGGUUCGUAGGCGGCCAUGUAAGUGGGGUGUGAAAUCCCUCGGCUCAACCGAGGAAUAGCGCUCCAAACUGUAUGGCUUGAGGGAGACAGGGGUAAGCGGAACUGAUGGUGGAGCGGUGAAAUGCGUUGAUAUCAUCAGGAACACCGGUGGCGAAAGCGGCUUACUGGGUCUCUUCUGACGCUGAGGAACGAAAGCUAGGGUAGCGAACGG
rnacentral:rRNA from 1 species